rnacentral:rRNA from 1 species
GACGAACGCUGGCGGCGUGCUUAACACAUGCAAGUCGAACGGAAAGGCGCUGCGUUUGUGGGGUGCUCGAGUGGCGAACGGGUGAGUAACACGUGUGUAACCUGUCCUUGACUUUGGGAUAACUUUAGGAAACUGCGGCGAAUAUCGCAUAGGAGCUCCUGCUGCAUGGUGUGGGUAGGAAAGUGUCGGCGGUUGGGGAUGGACUCGCGGCUUAUCCGCUUGUUGGUGGAGUAGUGGCUUACCAAGGGUUUGACGGAUAGCCGGCAUGAGAGGGUAACCGGCGACCAGAGGACUGAGAUACGGCCCAGAAUCGUACGGGAGGCAGUAGUGGGGAAUAUUACAGAAUGGGCGGAAGCCUGAUGCAGCAACGCCGCGUGCGGGAUGACGGCCUUCGGGUUGUAAACCGCUUUCGCCUGUGCCGAAGCGUGAGUGACGGUAAUGGGUAAAGAAGCACCGGCUAACUACGUG